AUUAUGGUACUGGAGUUCUUAGCUCAAGCAAGCAUGGCGUCAAGACCGAUGGGUUUGAGCUCAGGGGCCAGUCAUGGUAUGUUGCAACUGAUAUUCCAAGUGAUCUUUUAGUUCAGAUUGGAGUUGUAUAUUUCCACUUGCAUAAGUAUCCUCUGCUUUCUCGGUGUGGAAAAAUGAACAGAUUAAUAUAUGAAUCACGCGACCCAGACCUGAGUAAAAUAGCAUUAGAUGAUCUUGCAGGAGGAGCUGAAGGAUUUGAGCUUGUAGCAAAGUUCUGCUAUGGAAUUGUUGUUGAUCUAACAAUAGCCAAUAUCUCUGGCCUUAGAUGUGCAGCAGAGUAUCUAGAAAUGACAGAGGACUUAGAAGAAGGUAAUCUCAUAUUCAAAACUGAAGCUUUUCUUAGUUAUGUGGUGUUAUCAUCAUGGAGGGAUUCUAUAU